rnacentral:lncRNA from 1 species
AAGAACAUAUUUUGGUCUUCUUUCUUUUAAAAUUGGGCCAAUUCCUAAAGGCACAAAUUAAUUUUUUUACCCGUAACCUAAUUUUCAUACCAAUACUCAAAUACUCAUUACCCUUUACCCUUCCUCCUACUUAUAAAAACACACCUAAAAACAUCUAAAGAAGGGAUCAGAUCCUUCAACUAGAGAGCAAAACGGCGCAUUUGGAAAAAAAAAACUUCUCCUCCAUUUUUGAUCAAAAAGCAGAUCCCUCACUCUCUCCUUCUUCAUUUUCCUCAAAACAACAGAGAAUAGACCCCUCCCAUUCGAAGAAACAGGGCAGCGGCGACCCCUAUUUCUCUUCUCCUUCAUUUUCUCGCUGGUAUCAGUCAAGAACCAAACAAAUGACCUUCCAUUGUUGUCCAACGAAACAGAGCAAACCCAACUGAAAUAGUAAAAGAACAACGAUAAAUGGCUCUGAAAAAGGAUAAUAGCAUGGUUAACUUUCUAGGUUCGAAGCUCUAUUGAUUGUUGUUCGCUUCUGCUGAUUUUGCUGUUGUAUUGUUGAUUUGCGGAACUUCAUUUCCGGGUAUGAUUAUUCGUCUUUGAGCUACUGUUUCAACUCGAUUCGGAAUGGUAAAAAAAUUUAAUUAUUGAAUUUGUGAAACUAUUGAACUUUGUAACGUGACUCAAAUUCGAUGUCAAUCCGAUUUGGUAUUUUAUGUUCUCGCUAUCUAUGUUGUUUUUUGGUUCUUUUUGUUGUUUGAGGAUUUUGAAGGAAAAUGCCGUAGGUUCGAUAUUCAAAUUGUUAAAUCUAGC